rnacentral:tRNA from 1 species
GGUAGAGUGACUGAGUUGUAGGUGAUAAAUUGUAAAUUUAUUUAGGAGUUAUUUCUCUUCUAUCA